AUCUGAUGAUUAGGACACUGUAUAAACUUCUUAUUGAACCUAUCCCAAGUCUCAUGGAGAGCUUCAGUUGGAAUCUGUCUGAAGUUAUUGAUCUCAUCUCUCAACU
rnacentral:snoRNA from 1 species